rnacentral:rRNA from 1 species
UAGGGAAUCUUCCACAAUGGACGCAAGUCUGAUGGAGCAACGCCGCGUGAGUGAAGAAGGUUUUCGGAUCGUAAAGCUCUGUUGUUGGUGGAGAAGGAUAGAGGCAGUAACUGGUCUUUAUUUGACGGUAAUCAACCAGAAAGUCACGGCUAACUACGUGCCAG